rnacentral:misc_RNA from 1 species
UUUCCGUAGGUGAACCUGCGGAAGGAUCAUUGUCGAAACCUGCCCAGCAGAACGACCCGCGAACUUGUGUAAACAACCGGGGGCGGGGGGCGUUCUCGCCCCGUGCCCCCGAACGGCGGGGAGACACUCGUGCCUUCUUGCCGAACAACGAACCCCGGCGCGGUCUGCGCCAAGGAACUUCAACUAAAGAGUGCCUCCGGUCGCCUCGGAAACGGCGUGCGUGCCGGGGGCGAAUCUUGUGCAAAACCAUAACGACUCUCGGCAACGGAUAUCUCGGCUCUC